UGUUCUCUCUCUUUGGUCUCUCUUGUGGCUCUUGGUUCUCUCUCUCUCUUCCUGGAAUUUUUUCUUUGGUUACAUCUACCACAUAAAAUCUUUGAUCUACCAAAAUCUAUUAGGUUUUAGACCCAUGUUCUUGAGAUCAAAGUGAAGAGCUUGGUGAGAGCAACAUUUUGAUCGGUGGAGAUCAAAAUCCAACAAAGUCAAAAAUUGGGGUUUUUGCUUGUUUUCUCUUCUAACUUUUGAGGUGAUUGUGAUGUGCCUCCGCCAAAGUGAAGGCGUGGAGGAUCUUUUGGAGCACAAGCCUCUUUUUAUUUAUUUGUUAUGCUUUCUUUGCAAGCCAAUGGCUAUCUAUGUAUGGGUUUGAAAACCACUUUGUUGUAACCGGGCAAAGACUUGGAACUUGUAGCCAUUAAGGCAUUAAUUUGUAUUUUGUUGCUUUAACUUGUUAUUAUCACAUGCUAUAAAAUUUGUAUCUUAAGGAUGAUGAA